CUUUCCAGAGAUGAAAAUACCCACCUCUUUUUGCUUGCGUGCUUGAGGGCUAUAUAAAGAUCUGCACCUUUAUAUAGACAGUUAUUUAAAUAGCACAGAUAUCUGGAGCAGCGAACCCAACACAAAACUCCCUGCUCAGUAUUUCUUCUUCUCACCCCAGGGUUGCGUUUAGCCCUCCAUUUCUCAGCUUCAGUCCCACCUGCCUCCUGCUGCUCUCACCCUGUUAAACUCGCGGGCUGCAGAAGGGAGCCCGAGGCUGCCCCGACCCUGAGCCUGGGGCGGGGCUGGAGACAAGGCCGCAGGCCCAUGGCUGUUUCAACACACCUUGCAGAUCCUCCCUGAGAAACUAAGGAUCAGCGGUGCUUCUCUUGUGCAACCUGUGCCAUGGCGCAGGAUGGAGCCUGGGGUCUCCAGCAUGGUACAGACCACUGAGAGCAUGUGAAAGCUUGGGCAAGCAUUCCCAAAAUGCCUUGCUAAGGACUUCAACGGUUGCCUCUGAAGCCUGUCACACUUGUUCCACAGCCAGUUUAAGUGUACAGGAAGUGAGAGGGGCAGUGAUUUCCCCUGUCAUAUAUCUACAGGCCACAGGCACAUUCUUUGACAAUCUCUGCUUAGCCGAGAAUGAGAACAAGAGACUCAAGCUUGAGUCUCCCACUUGUUGGCACCAGGAAUGAGCCAUCCUGCAUUUAACCUGCGGUUUCCAGAAGUAAGCAGGCUCUCCUGCUUUCCCUCUCCCUUGGCCAGACUGGGAACAGGCUGUGUGGAAGGCACAGUUUAGCUUUGCCUUUCAAGACUCUGCCUGUGGAGGUGGGUACCUGCCACAGCCCCAGCCUUAAC
rnacentral:lncRNA from 1 species